rnacentral:lncRNA from 1 species
UUUUUCUUAAACUGUAAUUUUUAUCUAGAAAUCAUAUUGAGUUUAAGCUUUUAUACAAAAUCAGAUUCUGAAUUUCAUAAAGAUUUUCAAUAGAGGCUUUCAAAAUCAUAAUUUGAGAUAUGUAUCUUCCACAUUGUAGCUCAUCUUAAAUCGUUACGAUUGAAAACACAUAUUUUAAAUAUAUAAGAGCAUAUUCAGAAUAUUUGUAUUUAUGUUGAGUUUCGGUAUGAAUUAGAACAUUAUAUACCAAAGUUAGGCAAGUUGAAAGAUAAAACAAAAUCAAUUCAUUUUGCCUAAAUAGAGAUAUACUUUUCUUCUCCUUUUUACAAAUUUAUUCAACUUUCAGAUUUCAAAGAUGAUUGUGAACGACAAAUCUAAAAUUUCUUUUCAAUAAUACCAUAAAAUAACUUCAUAUAGUAU